AAAAAAAAAAAAAAACCCGAUUGUAUAUUCUAUUUACUGCGAUAGGAGAAAACCGCCUUAGGGCUGGAGGUGAGCUGUGCGUGCCAUGUUUGCUUUUGCACAUCAAGGCACGGCACCUUUCCUUAAACUUAUUUAUGACACAGAGAUCUUUGUUCGCAUGAUUUCCUGCUGACCCUCUACCCGCUAUUACCCUAUUGUCCUGCCACUUCCCCCUCUCCCCUCUCCGGGAUGGUAAAGAGAUAAUGAUCAAUAAAUACUGAGGGAACUCAGAGACCGGUGCAGGUGCCGGAGCGCGUCCUCCGUAUGCUGAGCGCCGGUCCCCUGGGCCCACUUUUCUUUCUCUAUGUGUUGUCUCUGUGUCUCUCUCUUUUCUCAGUCUCUCGUCCCACCUGACGAGAAACGCCCACAGGUGUGGAGGGGCAGGCCACCCCUUCACAUAUAAUGAAAUAGGAAUCAGCCCUAAAAAGGAAGGAAUGGUGACACAGGCCACCACACGGACUCACCUGUGGGUAACGAGCAGUUCUCGUGGGUGCUGUACUGAAACGUUAAAACAAGACGGCGUCCCUGCGAGGCUCCCGAGGGAGGGAGCUGGAAGAUCCAGGCGGCAUCUUGAAAGUACAGCGUGUUCUCCACAAAUCUCCCAGGCCACAAGCAAGGAGCCAGCCGGCUCUGAAUUCUCCAGCACAGUCAGGGCGCAAGUCAAAGGGCUUCCGAUCAGACUUGAAGAGAUCCCGCAGGAAGUCCUGACGUUCACAGCAAGCAGGGCUCUGUGCGGGCCAACACGCCGCCCAUGGGUGCUCUGGAAAAUCACGUGAAGAUGGUGCAAGUUAGAGAGCCGUAAAAGCAAGUCUCAGGCCAGAUCCUGCCAAGUGCCUCGUUUGCAAACAAGCCCUAAA